rnacentral:rRNA from 2 species
AGUAGCGGCCAUAGCACGCGGGAAAUACCCGGUCUCAUUCCGAACCCGGAAGUCAAGCCGCGUGUCGCUCCGUAGUAGCGGGGUGCGGGAGCCCCCGUGAAAGCGGAGUGCUGCUACUC